rnacentral:rRNA from 1 species
CCUACGGGGGGCAGCAGUGGGGAAUAUUGGACAAUGGGGGCAACCCUGAUCCAGCCAUGCCGCGUGUGUGAAGAAGGCCCUCGGGUUGUAAAGCACUUUCAGUGAGGAAGAACGCCUGGUGGUUAAUACCCAUCAGGAAAGACAACACUCACAGAAGAAGCACCGGCUAACUCCGUGCCAGCAGCCGCGGUAAUACGGAGGGUGCGAGCGUUAAUCGGAAUUACUGGGCGUAAAGCGCGCGUAGGUGGCUUGAUAAGCCGGUUGUGAAAGCCCCGGGCUCAACCUGGGAACGGCAUCCGGAACUGUCAAGCUAGAGUGCAGGAGAGGAAGGUAGAAUUCCCGGUGUAGCGGUGAAAUGCGUAGAGAUCGGGAGGAAUACCAGUGGCGAAGGCGGCCUUCUGGACUGACACUGACACUGAGGUGCGAAAGCGUGGGUAGCAAACAGGAUUAGAUACCCGUGUAGUC